UUAAUGAUUCCCUGCAAUAGAAGCCGAGGUCCCUACAAAGUGCCUUCUCUUCCACUCUGCUGAAGGAUAAUAGGAGAAAGCUGAAACCGAAGGGAACUUUGCCCAAAAAGGGGAGGCUGUGUUACUAAGCUCUCCCUUUAUCUUGGACUUGGCUGGAGCUGAGGGACCUGAGCUUUUUUAAGGUUUUAUGAGCUGCACCCAGAGGGUACACAGCAGAAAGGACCAUAUUAACAGAGUACAGUAAAUGAACUUCCAGUCCAGCAGUGGGUGGGAUUGCUUUGAGUCUCCUGCUGGUCCCUGACAGGCUGAUCUGUGUCCCCCUCUGAAAGUAGGAGAUUGGAUGUGAUAGGGUGAAGUACAGCAUCUCUCUGGCUGACUGAUAGUAGGCGUUCAAGAUCACUGUCUUACACAGGAGACACAGAGAUCACUUUGGAAAAAUACCCCAGCCAUUAGCUCCUGUUGACAAGAAGGAAGACAGACAAAGACUGACAUCAAUGGGACAGGGGACCCAUAGCCUGGUACAGCCAGCCUGAGGAUCUGAU